ensembl:lncRNA
GGAGAUACCUGGCAAGACAUGAAGCAGCUCUUCCGUAGUGCUUUGAAUUCAAAAUUCUACUGCAGUCCUGUCACUAGCUCAAAAUCAUGUUCAGGAAAACAUACAUUAUUGUCAGCCAUUCAAGAAACACUGAUGUAGUGAGCUGUGCAAUAGCACUGAAAAAACAUUGGGGUGCUCCAAAACCUGUGAAUUGUAUCUACUUGGAGAAGAUGAAACCACACUGAAGGAGCUGAGAGAAACUGGAUAAUGCAGAGGGAAUUUCCAAAGGACAUGCUCUCCAAACCUUAAUUCGGUACAAUGAACUGAAGGACAAAAUGGUAACACUGAAAGAAGCUCUGUAUCAUAGAAUGUAUUUCUGAGUCUAUUUGUAGGUAUGGCAAAGGUGAGUGAGUAAAUAUCCUCUAAAAAUGAGCUUUCUAUGAGAAGCUAUGAAAUGCCUUUGUGAACUGCAUCCCCUUGAUUAAUUGGCUCAUCAUUCUUCCUAGUUAAAGUAUGAAUGGAGUAGCUGUACCAUGUUUUCUAACUCCAGAGAUAUUCAAACUUCAGAUCUCUCUAAAAUAUUGGAAUUAGUGAGUUUUGCUAAUCAUGGUUCUGUGUAAAGCUGAUGGGAGGCUUCCUGCUGACAAGAAUGGUUGGAACUUCAAUUCUAGUUUUCAGCUAUGAUGAAAAGGCUGUUAUUGAUGUAUUAGGAUAAGCUGCAGAUAAGAAAUACCUUCAAGUAUUUGAUGUUGAUUUAUAACAGAAAUUCCUAUAUCCUGCUGAAGUUCAUUUAGCUUUUGCCUUGACCUUUCUAUGUAUUUAAUACAGUUACUGGCUUUAACAACCUACACGCAUGAAAUUACUGUUUGGAGACCUCAUUUUUCAGAGACUAUAUCAUAUCCAGUAGUACAAUAACAGAAAAUAGAAGAAUACUCUAAGGCCUUUAGAGAAAAAAAUCUUGCUUUACUAUUGACUUAAUUAAGAGACGUAUGGAACUUUAUGUUCCUAAAAGAAUGUGUUGGACUGCAAAUAGAAAUACAGAGUGGAGAAAUUCAGACAGUUAAUUUCCAUACUGCACUAUGAAAUUAGAAAUAUACUGAUCUGAAUAAGAACUGUAAAAAUGGAUAAUGACUUUUGACAGAGAUCAUAAAUUAUGGGCUUUUCAAGGUUAUUAAAACAAAUUCCAUCCACAUUGGUUGAGCUGCUUUUAAAAUACUUGUGUUAGCUAAUGGCUGUGCUCUGUUCUGAAAAAUAUGGUUUCCUUUCCCAAAUUACUCAAGUUAUUGAAAUAACUUAAUUCCAUACUCAAACUUGUAUAGAAACCCACACUUCUAUAAUGCGGUUGUUCUAAAUUUAUCGAUACAUUAAGUAUAGUGCUUAUAAGAGCAGGAUGAAAUGCUAAAGAUAAGACCUGUUUAUUCAGUGAUAUUGUAACACUAUCCAAAAUACAGUAAAACAGAGAUGUAAAAACAAGUGCUUAUAGUUGUUUUUCUCUGGAAUUAAUAAUGUACAUCUUUUUGAUUUUAUUUCUAGAUUUAAAAACAUCUUCAGGUAAGUAAUUCUGGAAGGAUUACAUAAAAAGUUUGAACCCUAAAAAUUUUACUGCAUCAGAAUCUUACGCUAAACAAUACCUUCCUCUGAAACCUAUUGGCUAAGUACUACUCAGAAUCAGAAUUGUCUCCAGUGACUGCAUAAAACAUUUUGCUUUUAUUUAUUAUUAUAUUUAUUAUUAUAUUUAUUAAUAUUUAUUUAUUAUAUAAAAAUUUGCAUGUUUAGCAUGACUAAAGUCUGUUCAUAGGAGAGAAAAACUCACAAUGUUUAAUUCCUUCUUCAGGAAAUUUACAGAUAUACUGAAACCCUGCUUAAAACUUCUACAAUAUUUUUGCUUUUUUUCCCUUCAAAAAUGAAGAAUUGAAGAAAUUUUUAUGUAGGUUUUAGAUGAGAUGAAGAAGUGUCUUUUUCUUAAUUUUAAGAGUCCACGCUUAUAGUAAUAAAGAACUCACUGCAAAAUGAGUUGCAAAAUGAGUUGCUAAAAAACAAAAACAAACAAACAAACAAAAGAAUAAAACUCAUAUUUUUAAGAGAAAAAAAUAAAAGAAUGAUUCAGUUGAAUAUCUGUGCAUACAAAGACAGUGUUCACAAACUUCAGUCUUUUUCCCAGAAAUAUAAAGCUGAAUACCAAAGCCCUAUACAAAAGCUGAUAUAACGUAAGCUUGCAACUAAACACAUAAAAAUAAGGGUGUACUUGUACUUCUAUUUUACAGGAAAACCAGGGAAUAACAGAGCAGACACUGAUUUCCUGGUAGUACACACAGUCUCACUGGCAAAGUAAUGAAAACAGCCCAAACAUCUAUUCAUUUCUUGUCCUUGGUUUUGGGCACAGAAACACAAGUUCUCCAGCAUGAUUGAAGUCUCAAGUUAAAAGUGGCAAAAGAUAGACGAAAUCAAGAAAAUGCAAUCUGUAUUUCAAGAGAAUGAAGACUCGCUUUUAAAGAAAAAUGCCACAACUAAGAAAAUAUUUUCAGCUGGGCCAGACUAGCUGGCAAAUCUUGUUGCCCUGAGCCAUCCAUAUCACUCCUGGCCCCAAAUCACUCCUGGCAGAGUGAUCAGCGAGAACUGCAAAAUCUGAGUCACCACCUGAACUCCCAUCCCAGAUGAUGUCCCAUACUUCAUCCUGGACAGUGCGCUGUGAAGUGAAGACAUAGAUGGGGACCCAGGUGUUUCUUCCGACUAAAAGCCUCUCUGCUGGAACUUCCUGACUCAUUUCCCUGAUUACAAGACAGCAGGUGUCAAAUACAUCAGAAAAAGAACAAAGGACAUUAUCUAUCCAUACUUAAUUAAAGGCAGAAAUGCACUCAAGCCUGGCUGUCUGAACCAGAAGGUCAUUAAGCAUGGUCAAGGAGUGCUUUGCAGCAAGAUUCUGAAAAAUGGAAAUCUUGAAGCCUUCCAAGAGUUGUUAACACUAAACAGUUCAGAGUUGAGACAGAGUUUUGGGAAGAUUUUCUGAUUCCUGCCUGACAUGGGUUCUCUACGAGCAAACAUUCAGCAAGUACAAAGAGCAAUUUUGCAUGUUGCUGAACAUGCAAAAAAUGACAGUUGUGACAUACGGUUACCUAAGGAGCCCACUCUUCUCUCCUAUGUCUCUACAGUUCUGGAUUGAUGGAUCUGUCCCCUCCUUGGGCACACAGUCUAAUAGGAAUCAGACAUUGUCACCAUUUAGUGUGUUCUGCAAAGGUAUGGAAUCAGUAAGAGCAUAUCUCACCUGCCCUGUGCAUCUGAGCAUGCUGAAUACAGUUACCUAAGAUUUCAGUGUUUGUGGCAGAAAAAUAUCUCUUUUGGAACCAUGCAUGUAGGCACAAGAUUCAGUGAAAUUGCACCAUGUGGAAGAAAGUGAACAGAGGGAUUAAAAAACAUAAUGUUACUUCUCCACCAAAGAGCAGCAGAUGGCAGGGACUAGCAGGUCAAAUUAGGUUUCCUGUUGGUGGAGAAAAAAAUCAAUGAUUCAGAGUCUUAGUAUAUUCUUAUUUCAGUUAUGUUCUCUGAUUCUCAAUGUGAGUUACUUACACGCAACUUGUCAUCAGUCUCUGCUUUCAAGAGUCUCAGUAAUCACAAUGAAGAAUCUCAGGACCAAGAAUGAGGUUAGAGACACUAAGCAUGACUACCUGAACAGCCUAAAUUGUUAUCAAAAUGAUUUUAUUUUAUCUCUACAUGUAAAAAUCUCAAAGCUUUCUUAAAAAAUUGACUUCUGUUGCAGAGUUUUGGCUUCGAAGGAAUAUUGGGUUGAGCUCCAGAUCAGAGUGCUGUCAUGCAUCUUUCUGCUUUAUGAAUGCAGUAGUUAGCUAAGUACUCAAUACCCUAGACAUAUGAAAGUCAGAGGCAGAAAUCAAACCCCUCUGGAAAAUUUUUUUCCUUCUACUCUUCAUGUCCUUUUGUUCAGCUAUUUAAGUGAAAAGCCUAUUACAUGUCAAACAAAAUAAUUACAUCCAAAUUAUUUUCCAGACUGGUAUUGUUUCUAAAUGUUUUUGUUUGUCUUCUCCACUCACUGUGGAAUUUUGCAGUUGUUGUCUUCACUUGUCUCUUCAAAGCUGAUCUCAUAAUGGAGAUUAAAAAUAAGAAAGAACAAUUUCCAAUUUCUCCAUGGACAAAGUGACCCUUUGAUGGGAGGAGUGUUGCAUGCUGCUGCUGAUGAAAGGAGGGUGCUGCAGAACGCAACCAUGUUGUGUGAGAGGGAGCCAACAUUUGGUGAUGAAAUUGAUGAUUGGCUGGAAGUAAUAGGUAUAAAAUCAAGGUAUAAAACUCAAGUGGUUAGGAGAAAGCUAAGAAUAUGAUUACGAGUUUGAGCAUUUGAAAAAUAGAUUGGAGUUAAUAGUGUAGAAUAGUUUCAUACACAUAAUAUGAAAUAAUGAAAAGCUUUCCUAGCAGUCACAAAUAGGGGAUAGACUUUGCUCUACAAAUGUGAAGCAUAGGGCUGAGGUAGUUUGUGAAAGCACCUACAUUCAGGUGUCUCCUUGUGUGUGAGAUGUCAAGGUUUCCAUUAGAGUUAAUAGAGAUCUACUCAAUACAGUCCAGGGAACCUCAAGGGCAAUUCUCAGCUGACCAGUCAGUUUUUGUGUUAGAGUGAGCUGACAGCAUGGACUAAAUCUCACUUAACUAAAAUGAAUCUUAUUCUGGAUAUCCAGUCCAAGCUGUCACCUGAGCUGUCUUUGCUGUCAUCAGGGAGCGAUCAGUCUUGCAGAAGGACUCUUACAUUUCUAAAAUAGGCUGUUGAUCCUUAUUUUAGGCUAUCAAUUCCUAUUUUAGGCUAUCUGUUUCAGAUCAAAGGCCUGGUCUUGUUGCUCACUCACAGUAUUCACAUUCUUGGGAUAUCUACAGGUUCUUUUCCGAUCUCCUGCCACUAUACAAGAAGGAAAUGGGCUGGGGCAUGGGCCUUCUGUUGCUACUUUGUCAUGUCUGCCAGAUCCAAGUAUUUCUAAUAGGACUAAAUAUCUAUGUGUAGACAACUGAACUAAGCAUGAAGGUCUAUUUAUAAACUAUUAAUUAUUGUGACUCUCAUCCUGAUUCCUCACUUAAUGAGCAUUGGAGUUACAUAGCUCUGAAGGCUGUAAUAAACAGACUGACUUUAUUGUAGCUCUCUGUGUAUCAACAAAGUAAAAAAGCCAUAUAACAACUAGAGAGAUCAUUCAUCCAGAAGAUGGUUUAUAAUGUGGUAUGGUAAUAGACGCAAACUGGCAUAAAUGAACAUGGUUUCUGAUCCCAGCUUUAUAGUAGAGUUGUGUAAAUGUAGUCAUUAGAGUAAAAGCAACAUUGCUAUUUGCGAAAGUGUUUGAAGAAAAGACUUGAUAUAGUUUUCAAAGAUUGCAGUAUAUUCACUAUGAAAAAGAACUUGCUUUGUUUUUCCUUUUUUUAAAAUUUUUUAUUUUUACUAGCUGAUGCUGUUAUAAAAAAUAGAUAGCUGCAGAAGUGUUAGAGGAAAAUGCUGUAGUGUGCUUAGACUGCAUUUUGUGCAGAUGGCAUGCCUGAGUAUAUAAAAAUGACCCCUUGGGAAUCUGUGUGCAUCUUUGUUUUAGAAUACAUCCUGGUUUUAUUAAUGAAACAAGUGAAAAGGUUUUGUUUCUGUGUGUGAGGAAAAGAUAUUACAAAAAAAAAAGGAAGCAGGGGAAGAACUUUCCUCUAUUUUAAUUAGAAAGUAAUUGCAUUGCACCAUUAAAACAAUGAGCUCUGUCAUGAAAUUCAAAGAACUUGGGAUCAGUAUUGGGCAUAGAUGUUGUACUGACAAUUGUAGGUUAUUUCUUUUAACAUCAGUUGAGUGGAGAGAAAAAGUGCUAUUUUAAUUGAAAGAACAAAUAUCACAACCUUAAUAUUGUUGAAGUAGCAAGUCCUGACACUGGCAAUGGGUUAUGUUUGUAAUGACAUUCUUCAGACAUAGGGGCAUUCAGAGCAGAAGCUUUUGUCAAAUAAACAAAAAACCACAACACUUACAUCACACAGAAAAUACAAAUUUCCUUUAUAAGCUAGUUAGCUUUAGGCUGAGGAAGGUUUAAGAACGUUAGUCCGUCUGCUAUUCCACAUUGGUAUUUUAUCAUAUUAUUGUGUCAUCAGCAUAACAAAUGUAUUUGGCAGAGAUAUGUUACUACUUUUCCUCACCAGAUAUCUCAGAAAAUAAAAAUAAAGGUAUAUGGGGAACUUCUACAUGACAGUUUCAAAUCAGUCUUUAGCUACUACAGGUCUAAAAAGAAGCCAGAUGACAGAGAGAGAUAAGCAAAUUAAAUUACAUACUAUUGGAUACUCAGUGUAUUACACAUUAGUGGAUAAUGACUGUGACUAACAGCUAUUUUGAAACCAUGAACUUACCGCAAACUCACUCCAUUUUUGUUUUGUUCUAUGAAUAGAUCAUAAAAUAUCUGAAAACACAGUGCACAAAAUCUAGAUUUAGAAAUGACUAUGCACUUUCUUAUAAUUCACAGGAGGUAACAUAAUUAAAAAUCAUCACUUCUGUUAAUGACAAAUAAAACAGGCUAUAUGUAAGUAUUUACUAUUAGCAGAAACUGAUUUUAGACAUCUUUUUUUCUUAAGAAUCGGAUGUUACAGAACAAGACCCAAUCUAAAGAGGAAAGGAGAAAUUUGGACUUUUUUUUAAGUUAAACAGUGAGUUAUAUGUCAUUCAAAGAUAACACUUGUAUGGUAAUUGAGGUAGGGAUUAUUAGACAACAAUCCAAGGAGAUGCACAAAAGUUGACACACCUAGCGUUAAUUGUAUGGCAUGUUUGUUUUCUGUAUUAAAAGAAGUCAAUGUGCACUCCUCCAGAAUGUAUUCAGAAAAAAAUAUUUUAAAAGACAAAGGGGAAUAGAAAUCUAACAUGCCUCAUUAUUUCAUAUUCUAUCUUUCUGUCUCUUUGUCCUAGUCUCUUCAAUCAGACCAUCACAACAUUUUCAUAACUUUGUCAUUAUUAGACACAAGAGGAAUAUCAAAGAUGAAAGAAAGGAUAGAAACAGGAUAACUGCAGAGGAAGCAUGUCAUCUGGCCGUGUCAGUAGUUGCUAAUUAACUUAUCCUGUAUCUUAUCACCAUACAGUAUGUGUCAUACAUGCAGCCCAGUGAUGAGCUGUUCAUCAGAUAUUCUCUUGAAAUCAACUAUGGCAUCUUAAGCCAUAGAAUCAACUAGCUUGAGAAGAAAACACUGCGAAUAAUUAGUUCCUUCCUUUAUUGCAAUUACUCCAAUGCAUGUAGAUAAAUGAAAAUUUUAUGUCAUCUCCUACUUAUCUUGCUUGUUCUCUCUGUUUCACUUAAUUUUGCCCAUCUUUACAAUGUAUCAGUAGGUUGAAUAUGGAGCUUUUGAACUGACUAGGCAUCGCUUUAUGGAGUUUCUUUUAAUGUUGAGAAUGUAUGUACUUUUUGUUUUGUCUGAAGAGAUUGAGGAAAUAGAUUUAAAAUGUAUUAGUUUAUAAAUUGUGAAUUUCUUAUGAAGAAAGUGAGAGAGUGUACUGUCAAUGGAAUUGAACAAUCAGUUUCUUACUGACACAACUGAAACAGCAUGAACUUCUUAAAAAUACAGAUCCACCAAAUCCUUUUUAUGAAGAUCCUACUAGAAAAAUAACGGGCUAUUAAAAUUACUCUGAACUGGAUAUCUGCCUUGAAUGGAUUACGUGAAUAAUAAUCUCUUAAAACAUGACUGUGUUAUUCUCCAUGUGAUUGUGCCUGAGAAGGGAGAAGGUACUGCUGGCUCCAUGUAAGUUUGUGUCUUUCCACCUAGCAUCUCAUUGCAUGUGAUUAGAACUGACCAAAACAUUCCUGGCCAUGUUUCUGUUGGGCAAUGCUGGUUCUAUAGAAUGAAUUCUGGUAAACCUUACCCCAAGCUAGGGACAUAUUCUGAGCCAACAUCAUAUGACUGAGAGGUUAGGAAUGAACUGCCAGCAGACAAAAAGUCUUAGUAUAAGCAACAUUUCUGCUUUUUUUCAUGCACAGACUUGUGACGUUCUGGCAUCCAAGCUUCUCAAGUCAGACUCAUUUCUCAUGGUUGAUCGAAGGUGGAAUUUGGGGAACUUGAGGAUUAUCUGAGGUAAAUGCUGUUUUGAGCUGAUUAUUCAGAUUGUAUUCUCUCCUAAUUGGGUUUUUGUUUGAUGGAGGAUGUCAGUCGGCUCCCACUGAAGUCAGGGGAACAACUCCCUUUGAAUUCAGCUGCCAUUGGAUCAGCUCCGGGUGCAGAGCACUGGCAGCUACCUCAGCUGUCAAAAAUUUCAGUUCCUGUCACAUAAAUGACAGGAGAUAAAGCAAGAUUUAAAGACUGCGAAAGAACUUAAAAUAUGUUUCAACAUUUGCUGCAUUUGGAAGCUGAAAUGCUGCCAACAAUUUGAUGUGUGUUUUCAUGUGCUGUACAUGCUUACAUUUUUUUUUUUUUCACAAUAGAAAAAUAAUCAACAGAUAGUGGCCUUAGACAGCUCUGACAAUUCUUUCCACUUUCACUUUAUGACCUGUGUGAAGAUCUGCCUUUGUACAUUCGGCAUUUUUUUCUUAUUUUAUUUUACCACAGUGUAAUUAUUCAGAUAUUGGACUUGGAACUGAGAG